UAGUCUGGGAUACCACUUGGAAACAGGUGCUAAUACCGGAUAAGAAAGCGGAUCGCAUGAUCAGCUUUUAAAAGGCGGCGUAAGCUGUCGCUAUGGGAUGGCCCCGCGGUGCAUUAGCUAGUUGGUAAGGUAAAGGCUUACCAAGGCGAUGAUGCAUAGCCGAGUUGAGAGACUGAUCGGCCACAUUGGGACUGAGACACGGCCCAAACUCCUACGGGAGGCAGCAGGG
rnacentral:rRNA from 1 species